UCCUAAUCCCGAUCCCAAACCCAAUCCCAAUGUCAAACCCAAUCCCAAUCCCAGUCCCCAGUCCGGGGCCCUGCCUGCCUCGCUGGCCGAAGGCUGCUCCGUCACCUGGAGCCCACCGGUGUCCUGGACGCAGCAGAUGGUGCAAUAUUGUCUCAGUUACCAUGGGAUGCCACAAACAAGUGUCAUGACUGAGGGCAUUAUGACCUCCAGCUUAAUUCUGCCUCCACUCUGCUCCAUUCCAUAAGGAAUUUCAUGCUGGAAUUUGCAAGGGGGAAUGCUAACUCUUAGGAACUGCUGCAAGGUUUUGUGAUGCACAACAGAGACCGAAGACUUUGGAACAACUUUCAUUUUUGGUAAGGUUUUCUCAGGGGGUGGUAGGGGUGGUGUCAUAUUUUUAAAGUGAAUUUCCAGUACAGCAGCUUCCGUUUUCCACUCAUGGCCACUUAUCAUCCUUUUCUAAACCACUCUUCCUGAGAGACAGAAAAAGAGAGCUGCACACAGAUGAUAGGAAGAAAGGCAAUUUCAUUGCUUAAGUACAGACUGAAAGCCUAUCCAACACAUGAUGGCAGGAUCAUUUAAUGGUCUUCUUGUGGUUGCUCUACACAGGGGCUGCUUUGCCAACAGCUCUCAUUUUAAAGGCUGGUGGAGUUUGAGAGGUGGGGAUUUAGCAGAGAAAAUGCUGUUGACUAAGGGUAUAGUGCUUGACUCCAAAAGACAUGAAUAGAACUUGAAUAAAGAGAGGCACAGGAGCAGAGAACUGCAGUUCACAUGGAUGGAACUCCAGCCAGCUCCUGUUUGUAUGGGCAUCCACUGCUAUGGAGAAAAGCUACUAAUAUCCUUCAGCUCCAGACAUGACUUCAUAUCCUAAGGCACGCUCCAUCCACGUACCUUUCAAAGCCAGCAGCAUCACUCCUGCUCUCACUGACCCCAAGAAAAAGCCACUAUCACCCUAAAAUUUUUGUCCACAGCUGUUUUGGCCCUGAUGGAUGCCUGGACCACAGAUUGGAUCAUGGGACUGAAACAAAGAGAACAGAAUUAAGCAUAGGAGGGUUGAGAGCUCUGGCUGUGCAAGAGAAGCCACAUUUCAGGGCUGAGAAAGAGCCACCCAGACUGAUUUGUUUGCAUUCAUCAGCUUUUGUUACCAUUCCUGAGGGGGUUUGUUGUGUACACACACUUCACUUUUAUUGGUGCUGGCAGGGAUGGGACCCUCUGCACUUCAUUUCUGAGGAAUACAGAGUUUGUCCUGCUUGUUGCCCUUUGUCCACCAAAAGCAGAGAUGGAAGAAUGGGGAUGUGGAACUGAUCCUUAAGAAGUCCCCAGAUCAGUUUUUGUUUCACAAAUGCCCUACUUGCACUCAGCAGCACUUGGUCUGUACUGCUGUGCUUCAGUUAUUCUUAAAAUUAAGACCAGCAGUAUCACAAGGAAUUAGAAAGCACCAAUUAAUUGUGAGACAGGAAUGCUGACACCCUGGGUUCUCACAAGCAUCUUACUUCCUUCUGACUCUUGCAGACCUUCCUGCCCAGUAAAAAAUUUCCCAGUUUUUGUACAGGAGUCUCCAUAAGGAUGAGCAAUCCAAGGGAAUUCCCUUAAUUCCACAGAUCUUUUCUCCAUUUGAUCAGUGCAGUGUCACAAAAAGAUAAAGAGGUAUUUGCCAGCUACUGUCCUUUGAUGCAAUUAUCCUUUUUUCUUUCAUUUUUCUCUCUCAUGUGCAGCUAAGAGAGGGAUCUAUGAACUCUACCAGAGCUGAACUGCAGCUGAACAGGGGAGCCACAGUUUUGCUUCAUCACUUGAAGCACAGGCACAAAACUGUACUGUGAGAUGAAGUAACAUAAAAAUAUAUCCCACUGUAGAGGGAACUCCAAAAAGCUGGGGAGCUGCAGGGAGAGGAUAUGCAAUUUUAGGAGCCUCCAGUGUAAGAUGUGUCUGGUAAAAUGGUUGGAGGCUGCGUGGGUCAUAGUGUUCCAAUUCCAACCUUUUCUGUUGUAGGUUUUUCACUGCAAACUGCAGUGGGGAAUAUGGAUCACCAAACACAAAACCACAAGCAACAGAAAGCUAGGAACACAUAUGUGCUUGCCCACAGCACUGCUGCCUGUAAGCUGUUCUCCAACCAACAAAAACAUCUCAGUGGCUGGAAAAGAUGAACAGGCCUGGUUGCCAAGUCAUGGCCCGAACUAUUCCAGGGGCAGAAAAGACAGCUGGGCUGCUGGUAAAGAACAGGGCUAUUUAAGGAGACUCACUCUGGUCUAAUGGAAAAUGCAGGGAUAGAAUUAUCAAUUAUUUUACACUAACCCAACAUUUCAGAUCCAGGAAAAAAACAAUCACAAGGAAGCAGAAGAAAGAAGCUGGUUAGAUUCGGCUGGCAGCUCAGUCCAGGUAUAGAAAGAGCAGAAUGUGCUGCCCUUUAGAAGAAAGAAAAUUAACUGUUUUUCAGAAGAUGGUGAUUCAUUUCAGCCUACAAAGCAAACUCCAAAUGUACCUGCACUGUUGGUCCAAGCGCUGACACAAAGUUGAUGUGAUCCCAGGGCCUUGGGUUAUCACAAGGAGCCACAAAAGCCAUCAGUGGAACUGAGAUAAAGGAAUUAUUUUUGGAUGUAUAGCUAUAUGUUGAUAUUUUAAGUUAUAUUGCUGAUCUGCUUUCUCUUUCAGCCCUCAGGGCAGCUGCUCCUGCUGUGCUGCACAGUGUUCCAUAUUAAGAAUUCCUAUGCAAAACCCUGGCUGCCACCCAGAAAACAUGUUAGAGAGCAAACACACAGAGCCAAAUAAACAACAGUCCCAGAGACUCUGAGAAAGGCCCAAUACACAACUGCCAAGGGGGACUCCGAGCUGAAAUCUCGAGAGGGAAAGCUCUUCAGCAUGACCUUCAAAUGCAGCUUUGUCUGCUGCAAACCCACUGUAACUGAACUUCUCCCUGUCCUUUUACCACAGCCUUGGUCCCACACUGCUGACAGCCUCAGCACAGCCUCAGCUGUGGCAUCAGAUGCCCAGGAGUCACAGCAUUUAGCAGGGUUUGUAAUGAGGGAGGGAGGGCAGCAGAAAACUCUUUGGUUUUCUUUCAGAGGAAUGCUCUGUUCAGUGUCUAUUACAAAAAAAGGGCAAAACUUUGCUUUAGAAUUCAGUCCAAAGUGCAAGUUUAAAAGAAUUCUGAAAUCUCUGUGCCCUGUUCCUCAGCACUUCCUCUCACAGUUACAUAUUUCAACAGGCAGCUCUAUAAAUACGUGUGGCAGCCCAAAAGCUGAAUGUCAUGGUGUCUGAUGAAACUUUUACAAGAACAUUCCUCAGGACUUCCCAAAAUUAACAACUUUGAACAGCUUUUGUAGUUUCUAUUCAGGGCAGAAGCAGACUACAUCUUUUGAGAUUUAAAUACACAUGCACCAAAGAGUAUCUUGUUUACACCGUGUGCUCCAGGCUGCACUGGUGCUUAGUCACAGCACAGGAUGUAGCACAUUCUGCCUUCCAGCAGCACUUGAUUUUGAAGGCCAGAACAUCCUUUUGUCUUGUUUGCUCUCCUGGGACAAACAUAAGAGGAUCAGGAAGGGAAGCAUUCCAACUUACAGCACAGGGAAUUCAGCAGGUAUAAAGUGGAGCUGGAAAUGAAGUUGGUGAUCUAAUAUGCUGCUGUCACAGCAGCUCAGAUGUAAGAGAAAAAGUAAAUCAUACUUCCUGGCUCUCUGUGUCAGUGGAGGUGCUGCAAUGUGUUUUACAAUGAUCCUCAGGUCCCAAACAACAUUUUCAUCUGAAUAGUUUUACUCUUUUAUUCAGCCUUACAAAAUCCCAGGGAAACAGAGGGACAUAACAUUCUCACCAUCUAUACCCACUGCUGCACAGCCAGUUCUGUGCCUCUAGCCUGGCUGCAGGUGUUAAAGAAACCUGGGCCUGGGGCUGUGGUGGAUCUGAGUCAAAGCCUCCACUGAGAGCAUCGGGGUAUUUAAGGUAACUGCACAAUCUUGGAGUGACAGGUACCUGCUGGAGGACACCUCUGGUCAGCUCCCAGUCCUUCCACCCUGUCAGAGUGGCUUGAUGGCCAGGGCAGGACUGGGUAUUCACUCACACUUGGCAUUUGUAGAUGGCAAAAAUGUUUGCACCAAUGGGUUUUUAUUGGGUCCAUCUCUAGGGGUGAUGUAUCAAACAGAAAAAAAAUCCUACUUUUCUGCUGUAAAGGUAUGCUACAGUUGCCAGGGACAGAGAGCUGCAGUUGCUGACAGUCCCAGACAGCAGCUAUUUAAGGGUAUCUAUAAAUAUGAAGCACAGGUCCCAAAAACACACCUGGAAAUCCCAGGGAGACAAAAGUUAUCUUAAACGCUAAAAUUAGAUGUGACUAAUCCCAGUUCUGUAGGCACAGGAACUAGCUGAUUCCUGCCCAGGUUGGACAAACAGCUCCUGAGGUGACUGAACACCAGGUAGUGGCACUUUUCAGCUGUGGAAGGAUUUACUUUGGCACUUUGGUCCCACUGAGGCCUCCACAGGGAGAACUGCUGAGCAGAAUUUUGCUGCUGUCCUGGUUCUGGGAACAUUCUGAAAGCACACUUGUUUUGUUGGCUGGCAGCUGCACAGAAAACUCUGGAGGGAUAUACUGGUGAGCCCCACAAGUCUCUGACCUGUCUCACCUUCUAUUCUGAGAGUAUUAGCACAAUUCACUUAGGAUAUGUGGGGACUGGAUCAAAUCCAGGAGAAGAGAUUAGUUAGGUCUAAGGAAGUGGCUGUCAAGCAGAGAAAGGUCAAAAGCCAUCACACAGAUGGCACACAGCACCAGAAUGUCCAGUUUGGUGUAGGUCAGCCCAGAAAUUGUUGACCAAGGUGUGUCACCUGCCCUCCCAGCACUGUCACUUACCCAUGAAGAAAAGUUCCGGGGACUUUUUGUCUGUAGCAAACUCUGCCAUGGGCCCACCAAAGCGCAGCCACAGCCCGAAGGCAAUGACAGCCAGUCCUGCCAGCUGCAACACAAACACAGCAGUCAGGGCUACAGUGACAAACAGCUGGAAAGAAUCACAGCAGUGUCUUGGCACCUUGUGCUUUCUUGAAAUCCCACAGCUCAGAAUUGCACUGUCAGAAAAUUUAUACAGCACUUGCCAGGGUCUGAUAACAAUUCCUAUUACAGUGCAAUGUACUUGUUUCUUUCAGUCUUCAGUGUAGUGGUGCUUCUGAACUUACUAGAGACUCUCAAACCUUGUCAGUCAUUUAAUCAUCAAAACUGGGCCUGAAUUCUCAUGAGAAAUGGAGAGGGGCAGGGGACCCCCACCAAAACUAGGAGGUACAAGGAUUGUUACUGGGUGGAUAUCUUGGAUCACAGAAAUUACAAACCAGUGAUAGAUGCUGUCAAGUGCAAGGAAAAAUUCCCUUUAAUGUGAACAAGACCAGGUCACAAAGGAGUGUCACAGCAUGUUGUUUGAGGGGAAAGAUCUACAGAGGUCUCAGCUUCACCACGUGCCAGACAGAUCAUGCUGUGUGACCUGGCAGAGAACUCCAGCAUCCCCCAGGAGCAGAGCUGUGUGUCCUGCAGGCAGCUCCAGCAUCCCCCAGGAGCAGAGCUGUGUGUCCUGCAGGCAGAGAACUCCAGCAUCCCCCAGGAGCAGAGCUGUGUGUCCUGCAGGCAGAGAACUCCAGCAUCCCCCAGGAGCAGAGCUGUGUGUCCUGCAGGCAGAGAACUCCAGCAUCCCCCAGGAGCAGAGCUGUGUGUCCUGCAGGCAGCUCCAGCAUCCCCCAGGAGCAGAGCUGUGUGUCCUGCAGGCAGCUCCAGCAUCCCCCAGGAGCAGAGCUGUGUGUCCUGCAGGCAGAGAACUCCAGCAUCCCCCAGGAGCAGAGCUGUGUGUCCUGCAGGCAGCUCCAGCAUCCCCCAGGAGCAGAGCUGUGUGUCCUGCAGGCA